rnacentral:rRNA from 1 species
GACGAACGCUGGCGGCGUGCUUAACACAUGCAAGUCGAACGGAAAGGCCCUGCUUUUGUGGGGUGCUCGAGUGGCGAACGGGUGAGUAACACGUGAGUAACCUGCCCUUGACUUUGGGAUAACUUCAGGAAACUGGGGCUAAUACCGGAUAGGAGCUCCUGCUGCAUGGGGGGGGUUGGAAAGUUUCGGCGGUUGGGGAUGGACUCGCGGCUUAUCAGCUUGUUGGUGGGGUAGUGGCUUACCAAGGCUUUGACGGGUAGCCGGCCUGAGAGGGUGACCGGCCACAUUGGGACUGAGAUACGGCCCAGACUCUUACGGGAGGCAGCAGUGGGGAAUAUUGCACAAUGGGCGGAAGCCUGAUGCAGCAACGCCGCGUGCGGGAUGACGGCCUUCGGGUUGUAAACCGCUUUCGCCUGUGACGAAGCGUGAGUGACGGUAAUGGGUAAAGAAGCACCGGCUAACUACGUG